AUACGGAGGGUGCAAGCGUUAAUCGGAAUUACAGGGCGUAAAGCGUACGUAGGCGGUUCGUUAAGUUAGAUGUGAAAGCCCCGGGCUUAACCUGGGAACUGCAUUUAAAACUGGCGAACUAGAGUUGAGUAGAGGGGAGUGGAAUUUCAGGUGUAGCGGUGAAAUGCGUAGAGAUCUGAAGGAACACCAGUGGCGAAGGCGACUCCCUGGACUCAAACUGACGCUGAGGUACGAAAGCGUGGGUAGCAAACGGGAUUAGAAACCCUAGUAGUCC
rnacentral:rRNA from 1 species